UACGUAGGGUGCAAGCGUUGUCCGGAAUUAUUGGGCGUAAAGAGCUCGUAGGCGGUCUGUCGCGUCUGCUGUGAAAACCCGAGGCUCAACCUCGGGCCUGCAGUGGGUACGGGCAGACUAGAGUGCGGUAGGGGAGAAUGGAAUUCCUGGUGUAGCGGUGGAAUGCGCAGAUAUCAGGAGGAACACCGAUGGCGAAGGCAGUUCUCUGGGCCGUAACUGACGCUGAGGAGCGAAAGCGUGGGGAGCAAACAGG
rnacentral:rRNA from 1 species